AUAGUAAUCCCUCGGUCCCAAAAUUCUUGUCUUACAUUUGUCUAGAUACGGAUGUAUCUAACACUACAACGGAACUAGAUACAUACGUAUUUAGACAAAUCUAAGACAAGAAUUUUGGGACGGAGGGAGUAUGUG
rfam:Triticum aestivum genome assembly, contig: Triticum_aestivum_CS42_TGACv1_scaffold_641385_T_4AS-0.254915_4AL-0.201970